AACGAACGCUGGCGGCAGGCCUAACACAUGCAAGUCGAACGGGUGUAGCAAUACAUCAGUGGCAGACGGGUGAGUAACGCGUGGGAAUCUCCCCAGAGGUACGGGAACAAACUCAGGGAAAACGUUAGUAGCUAAUAACCGUAUGUGCCCGACGGGGGCGAAAGAUUUAUUCGCCUCUGGAUGAGCCCGCGUUGGAUUAGCUAGUUGGUGGGGUAAGUGGCCUACCAAGGCGUACGAUCCAUAGCNGAUCUGAGAGGAUGAUCAGCCACACUGGGACGUGAGACACGGCCC
rnacentral:rRNA from 1 species